rnacentral:rRNA from 1 species
UGACGGUGGAUGUGGAUUCUGUGUUCAGUGGCGAACGGGUGAGUAACGCGUGGGUAACCUGCCUCAUAGAGGGGGACAACAGUUGGAAACGACUGCUAAUACCGCAUAGUAAGAAAGAUUCGCAUGUUUCUUUCUUGAAAGAUUUAUCGCUAUGAGAUGGACCCGCGUCUGAUUAGCUAGUUGGUAAGGUAACGGCUUACCAAGGCGACGAUCAGUAGCCGGCUUGAGAGAGUGAACGGCCACAUUGGGACUGAGACACGGCCCAAACUCC